rnacentral:rRNA from 1 species
GAUGAACGCUGGCGGCGUGCUUAACACAUGCAAGUCGAACGGAAAGGCCCUGCUUGCAGGGUACUCGAGUGGCGAACGGGUGAGUAACACGUGGGUGAUCUGCCCUGUACUUUGGGAUAAGCCUGGGAAACUGGGUCUAAUACCGAAUAUGACAAUUGUUUGGAUGCGAUUGUGGAAAGCUUUUGCGGUAUGGGAUGAGCUCGCGGCCUAUCAGCUUGUUGGUGGGGUAAUGGCCUACCAAGGCGUCGACGGGUAGCCGGCCUGAGAGGGUGUACGGCCACACUGGGACUGAGACACGGCCCAGACUCCUACGGGAGGCAGCAGUGGGGAAUAUUGCACAAUGGGCGGAAGCCUGAUGCAGCGACGCCGCGUGGGGGAUGACGGCCUUCGGGUUGUAAACCUCUUUCAGUGCAGAACAAGGCUCUUUGUGGGUUGAGGGUAUGCGCAGAAGAAGCGCCGGCUAACUACGUG